UGACCUGCGGAGGUCAUUACCGAGUGAGGGCCCUCUGGGUCCAACCUCCCACCCGUGUUUAUCGUACCUUGUUGCUUCGGCGGGCCCGCCUCACGGCCGCCGGGGGGCUUCUGCCUUCGGGCCCGCGCCCGCCGAAGACACCAUUGAACGCUGUCUGAAGAUUGCAGUCUGAGCAAUUAGCUAAAUAAGUUAAAACUUUCAACAACGGAUCUCUUGGUUCCGGCAUCGAUGAAGAACGCAGCGAAAUGCGAUACGUAAUGUGAAUUGCAGAAUUCAGUGAAUCAUCGAGUCUUUGAACGCACAUUGCGCCCCCUGGUAUUCCGGGGGGCAUGCCUGUCCGAGCGUCAUUGCUGCCCUCAAGCACGGCUUGUGUGUUGGGCCUCCGUCCUCCUCCCGGGGGACGGGCCCGAAAGGCAGCGGCGGCACCGCGUCCGGUCCUCGAGCGUAUGGGGCUUCGUCACCCGCUCUUGUAGGCCCGGCCGGCGCUUGCCGACACAUCAAUCUUUUUUCCAGGUUGACCUCGGAUCAGGUAGGGGUACCCGCUGAACUUAAGCUAUU
rnacentral:rRNA from 1 species